UGGGGGACAACNUUUUCGAAAGGAACGCUAAUACCGCANACGUCCUACGGGAGAAAGCAGGGGACCUUCGGGCCUUGCGCUAUCAGAUGAGCCUAGGUCGGAUUAGCUAGUUGGUGAGGUAAUGGCUCACCAAGGCGACUAUCCGUANCUGGUCUGAGAGGAUGAUCAGUCACACUGGAACUGAGACACGGUCCAGACUCCUACGGGAGGCAGCAGUGGGGAAUAUUGGACAAUGGGCGAAAGCCUGAUCCAGCCAUGCCGCGUGUGUGAAGAAGGUCUUCGGAUUGUAAAGCACUUUAAGUUGGGAGGAAGGGUACUUACCUAAUACGUGAGUAUUUUGACGUUACCGACAGAAUAAGCACCGGCUAACUCUGUGCCANNAGCCGCGGUAAUACAGAGGGUGCAAGCGUUAAUCGGAAUUACUGGGCGUAAAGCGCGCGUAGGUGGUUUGUUAAGUUGAAUGUGAAAUCCCCGGGCUCAACCUGGGAACUGCAUCCAAAACUGGCAAGCUAGAGUAGGGCAGAGGGUGGUGNGAAUUUCCNUGUGUAGCGGUGAAAUUNCG
rnacentral:rRNA from 1 species